GACGAACGCUGGCGGCGUGCCUAACACAUGCAAGUCGAACGGAGCCAGCCCCUUCGGGGACUGACUUAGUGGCGAACGGGUGAGUAACGCGUGAGAAACCUGCCUUUCAGUGGGGGACAACAGUUGGAAACGACUGCUAAUACCGCAUAAUGUCAUUUGGGGGCAUCCUCGAAUGACCAAAGAUUUAUUGCUGAAAGAUGGUCUCGCGUCUGAUUAGCUAGAUGGCGGGGUAACGGCCCACCAUGGCGACGAUCAGUAGCCGGUCUGAGAGGAUGAACGGCCACAUUGGACUGAGAUACGGCCCAGACUCCUACGGGAGGCAGCAGUGGGGAAUAUUGGGCAAUGGGGGAAACCCUGACCCAGCAACGCCGCGUGAAGGAAGAAGGCCUUCGGGUUGUAAACUUCUUUUACCAGGGACGAAGAACGUGACGGUACCUGGAGAAAAAGCAACGGCUAACUACGUGCCAGCCGCCGCCGUAAAAC
rnacentral:rRNA from 1 species